UACGGAGGGUGCAAGCGUUAAUCGGAAUUACUGGGCGUAAAGCGCACGUAGGUGGUUUGCUAAGUCAGCUGUGAAAUCCCCGGGCUCAACCUGGGCACUGCAGUUGAAACUGGCAAGCUAGAGUAGGGUAGAGGGGUGUGGAAUUCCAGGUGUAGCGGUGAAAUGCGUAGAUAUCUGGAGGAACAUCAGUGGCGAAGGCGAAGUCUCUGGGAUGAUGCUGACGCUGAGGCGCGAAAGCCAGGGGAGCAAACGGG
rnacentral:rRNA from 1 species